GUCGUGCACAGCAUCCUUAAGAACUUCAGCGUCGCGUGUGUCACUAUUCUUGUCGAGAUCAGUAACACGCUUUCUUAGGCUACUGAUUGCCUCCUCUUGUUCUACCUGUCGGCCAAGAAUUUCGUCAUACUCCUUCGACAUUACGUCGAUGGAAGCUUUACUUUCUUCUGCCUGCGAUGGCAAGCUGGACCAGAGAGCUGGCUAGUAAAUCAUCGUUGCCAAAGGUGAUGGGCGAGGCGAGCGCCGGCCUGGACGAGACUGGACCCGACAUCCGACAUAGAGCGUGACACGGAAACAAAGGUGCUCACGUCGAGGUGACCACAGCCAGCAUCCUUCGUGGAAUCAGCAACUAGCGUGAAGACCUCUCCACCGGAGCCUGACCCUGACAAGCGGACCGUAAGAAUGGCCAACUAAUUGAUCGAAGGGGCCAACGUCGAGGACUUCCGUGGGAAAGACUUAGACAUCAAGAUGCCAGCUUGCCACGUCGUUGCCUCGUAUGCGGGGGCGAACGUGCGGCAUUGGAGGCGGAACCCGGCUAAACGAUGCGACGUCAUGGCGGGACGUUGCGAACAGUUCAACGAUUGUAGUUAGCCGAGCAGGUAGAACAGUGAAUUUCCCCCAACGAGAUAAAGAGGAAAAGAAGUGCAUAAAAAGUGGCUCUCGAGUGCUGUGGGAGGGUGCGCCAACUCGUCCGUGUGCUCCUACUCGUGCUCGUACUAGUACUCGAACUCGUGCUAGUACAUGCAAACGCAUAUCAUGUGAAUUUGUAAAUAAACCCCUUCUCCUCUCUUU